GGGCCUUUAGCUCAAUUGGCAGAGCAGCGGACUUUUAAUCCGCGGGUUGUGGGUUCGAGUCCCACAGGGCCCACCA
rnacentral:tRNA from 1 species